UACUGAAGACGAAAAACAAACCAGCUUCACAAAAAGUACAAGGUGGUUCAAAGCAGUUUAAGAAUUUCAAUGAAUUUUUACAACGGAAAAGGUUUCACACAAAUAUAGGGAUAAAUUUUACCCUGUUUCAUUUAACAACAAUGAAAUUUCUUUCCUUGAUGGCCUUCAACACCACCAUGCAGGGCCUCCUGGAGUCAAGCCCACUUAAUUUUUUUUACUUCCUACUUACGGUGUUGCUACGUAAUGCCUUAGAUGACGACAGCAACAGCGAGGUCGCUAUAUAAACGUCAACAACCCGCACAAUCAUUAUUUUAUAAGCAAUUCAAUUCAAGAAACAAAGAAGACUUUAUUAAACAGCAUCGAAUUAAAACCAAGAAAGAAAGAUGAAAUGCAUUAUGGUUAUGGCGCUUUUUAUAUGGGCAAUAUUUUGUUUGGCGGACGGACGCAGUAUUACAAAACAUCUGGAAAAGAGGGAAGUAAAGAGUUCGUUGCCUUCGAAGUUCUGUACUCCAAGGCAUAGCUCGCUCUAGAAAACGUCGAUCAACAAACAAUAUAAGGAGUUAUAUAGCUUUCGAUAACCGUUGCGGUGGUGAUGUUAAGGUAAGUGACAAUGACUAAGAACUUUGAAUAUAUGAUAUUUAGACAGGGCAUUGAUUAUUCAAUAUUCAACAAUAAUUUAUGUCAUCGAACAAGUAAAUGCAAAGACAACGUGAAUAAAUCAAAGUAAAAAAUAUGCUGUGCACUUUGCAUUGUGAUCAGUUUUAUUUUGUUCCUAAAAGAAUAUCACACAAACAGAAAUAAAGCACCUUGCUCUCAAACAAAAUCAAUAGUUAACAGAAACUUAU